rnacentral:rRNA from 1 species
GACGAACGCUGGCGGCGUGCCUAAUACAUGCAAGUUGAGCGCUGAAGGUUGGUACUUGUACCAACUGGAUGAGCAGCGAACGGGUGAGUAACGCGUGGGGAAUCUGCCUUUGAGCGGGGGACAACAUUUGGAAACGAAUGCUAAUACCGCAUAAAAACUUUAAACACAAGUUUUAAGUUUGAAAGAUGCAAUUGCAUCACUCAAAGAUGAUCCCGCGUUGUAUUAGCUAGUUGGUGAGGUAAAGGCUCACCAAGGCGAUGAUACAUAGCCGACCUGAGAGGGUGAUCGGCCACAUUGGGACUGAGACACGGCCCAAACUCCUACGGGAGGCAGCAGUAGGGAAUCUUCGGCAAUGGACGAAAGUCUGACCGAGCAACGCCGCGUGAGUGAAGAAGGUUUUCGGAUCGUAAAACUCUGUUGGUAGAGAAGAACAUUGGUGAGAGUGGAAAGCUCAUCAAGUGACGGUAACUACCCAGAAAGGGACGGCUAACUACGUG